GACGAACGCUGGCGGCGUGCUUAACACAUGCAAGUCGAACGGAAAGGCCCUGCUUUUGUGCGGUGCUCGAGUGGCGAACGGGUGAGUUACACUUGAGUAACCUGUCCCUGACUUUGGGAUAUCCUCAUGCAACUUGGGCUCUUACCGCAUAGGAUCUCCUGCUGCAUGGUGGGCGUUGGAUAGUUUCGGUGGUUGGGGAUGGAAUCGCGGCGUAUCAGCUUGUUUGUUGGGUAGUGGCUUACCAAGGCUUUGAGGGGUAGCAGGCCUGGGAGGAUAACCGGACACACUAGGACUGAGAUACGACACAGCCCACAACGGUAGGCAACGGUGGAGAGUAGUACACAAGGGGCGGAAGCAAGAUGUAGCCAAGCAGCGUGCGGGAUGACGGGCUUCGGGUUGUGAACCGAUGUCGCCUGAGACGAGGCGAGAGUGACGGUAAUGGGUAAAGAAGCACCGGCUAACUACGUG
rnacentral:rRNA from 1 species